rnacentral:rRNA from 1 species
CCCUUAGAUGUCCUGGGCUGCACGCGCGCUACACUGACACGUUCAACGAGUUUUCCUGCUCUGAAAAGACUGGGUAAUCUUCUGAACGCGUGUCGUGAUGGGGAUAGAUUAUUGCAAUUAUUAAUCUUCAACGAGGAAUUCCUAGUAAGUACAAGUCAUCAGCUUGUGCUGAUUACGUCCCUGCCCUUUGUACACACCGCCCGUCGCUCCUACCGAUUGAAUGAUCCGGUGAGGCCCCCGGAAUGUGGCAACGGCUUCGGUUCGCCGAACUGAUGCUGCGUGAAGCUGUCCAAACCUUAUCAUUUAGAGGAAGGAGAAGUCGUAACA